rnacentral:rRNA from 1 species
GACAGAGGUGCCGAGCGUUAGGCGGAAUCACUGGGCUUAAAGCGUGUGUAGGCGGACGAGUAAGUACCUUGUGAAAUCCCACGGCUCAACCGUGGAACUGCUCGGUAUACUGCUCGUCUUGAGCCGCCCAGGGGCAGGUGGAACAAAUGGUGGAGCGGUGAAAUGCGUAGAUAUCAUUUGGAACGCCCAAGGUGAAAACAGCCUGCUGGGGGCGUGCUGACGCUGAGACACGAAAGCCCGGGGAGCGAACGGG